rnacentral:rRNA from 1 species
CAGUAUCCACGGUAAAACGUAGGGUGCGAGCGUUAAUCGGAAUUACUGGGCGUAAAGCGAGCGCAGACGGUUAUUUAAGCAGGAUGUGAAAUCCCCGGGCUUAACCUGGGAACUGCGUUCUGAACUGGAUAGCUAGAGUGUGUCAGAGGGGGGUAGAAUUCCACGUGUAGCAGUGAAAUGCGUAGAGAUGUGGAGGAAUACCGAUGGCGAAGGCAGCCCCCUGGGAUAACACUGACGUUCAUGCUCGAAAGCGUGGGUAGCAAACAGGAUUAGAUACCCGUGUAGUCCCUGUCUCUUAUAC